CCCCUUCAGUGUGGCUCUGGGGGAGGAAUUGCUCUGGCCUUUAGUUCUAGAGAAUCACAACUCCGAGAGAGAGAGAGAAAAACUGUAUUUGUAUAUGUGAAAGAGAGAGAGAGGGAGAAAGAGAGAGAGAGGCAAUGUGUGUGUGUGAAAGAGAGAGAGAUUGAUUCAGACCAUUCCCUCCAGCCUGCCAGGCCUCACUCCUCUGGUGCAGAACUCCUUUCCUUUGUGACAUUUUACACCUGCUGUUACUUAUUGACAGACUGUGCUCCAGGAAGAUUGAAUGCAUUUAUGUUACUUCCUGUUGUAUCUUGGGCUGUGGCCAGGCAUGAGUUGAUUAGCUGCCUUGGGAUGGGGCACAUAUGGAGAGGCUGGCCUUGGGGAAACACUGAUGUAGGCCCUUUGACUACAUGGCAACUCAGCGAGUCUAUGGUUUGCUCACAGUUAGGUCAGGUUCACGAAUUAAAUUCAGGUCAGUACUUUUCCUUUUCUAGGGGUUUCUAAAACUGAUUCUUCAAGAGAAAAAUUAUUUAACCUCCCCUCCAUAUCUCCUCUAGGGGAACUGUCUUAUCCAUCGCUAUACGGGCAUCAGAAGUCCUAGGAUAUCUGGGAAGCUCAUCUGCUUCUGCAGCUGGCCGAGCAUUUUCCACUUGUUCUCAUUCGAAGGCACGCAUGAGGCUGGCCUCUCAUCACGUCUGAAGCCCGACGUUGCUGAAAGGCUCCUGGACCUGCGUUUGCUCUUCACUGUCACUGCCUCAACCCAGCUUCAAGUCUCCUCUUAGAAACGAUGGUCUGCCUACAUUCAAAGCCGUCUCUAUCAAAGCCAUUUCUUUGAACUUUUCUGAAGAAUAAUCUGGCAACAUCUGAGAUUUAAUGUCUUUUAAAAUACUGUGAAAAAAAAAGACAGUUCUGUCUAGAUUGAGCCUCCAGAUUCGUUAGUUACCUGGCUGGAUCUUACAGACAUACUGAAACUUCUGUUGCUGCACUAAAACUUUUUAAAAAUUGGUUUAUAAACUGAGAACCUUGGAAACUUUUAAACAUCCUCCCAUGAAGUUGCUUUAGAAUUUUAUGUAUUUGUUUGUCAUCUUACUUCCCCUUUACAUAUGCCAGGGGUUGCUGUGUAUCAGUGCUGGCAAUUUUAUUCCUUUCGAGCAUCCGUGUUUGUACUGCAGAGAGUUCCUGUGGUGAUAAAAAGUG
rnacentral:lncRNA from 1 species